rnacentral:lncRNA from 1 species
GUCGCGGCCUCUCCGCACCCCACGUCCCGGGAGCCGACCGGGAGACUCUCACGGCGGAGUUCCACAGACCUCGUUAGGUUAAAGGAACCUCGCCUUGCCCCCCACUAAUCGGCUAGAGAGGGAGGCCGGCGAAACAAAAGCCGUAGAGGAAAAUUAAGCGACUUCCCCCUCGGCGGGGAACUUGGAGGUCGGGGAAGGUGUGAUUAUGAAAAUAAACAAGGGAAGUGAGGGAAAUAUAACCAAGUGGAAAAAGGAAAUGGAGUGCAAAUUGAGAACAUAAUCCAGAAUUCGUAAAAGUGGUAUGGAUAAAGAAGGUCAAAAUGGUCUCUGAUGAAAAGAAACUUUUAAAAUGCUUGGAAAAGUUAAUGAAUUAGAUUUCCCUGCACUUGAAGAUAUUAGGAUUGGGAGAUCAAGACUCCCAUCAGCCAAAUCAAGAAUAUUCACAAUUGACAGGAAAACUCAAAGUUUCUUUUUCCCCACCAGAGAAAUGUCUCCCACCCCCAUAGCUAAACAGUGCAGAUUUUGAAGAAGAAAACUCUAGAGCAGAAAAGAAGAGGGAGCCUGCAGCAGAGACGGGGGUCAUGUGUGGGGAAUGAUCACUUCAGCCACUGUGAAGUCAGGUAGGCUGAGCGAUGUGCAGCCAGGCACAGGAUGUACGCAUGAGAAACAUCUUCCCUAAGUUCACUUGUCCUCUUGGGCCAAGGAUGCUGAUGUUCCACAUGUCUAUGGAGCUUGCCUUUUACCCUCAGAGCCAGAGACCAUUUUUAAGGAUGACGCAUAUUUGGCUAUAUAG